AUAUGUUCAUAUCUACUUAAACACUCGCUUGAUAAAAUAAAAUACUCUUUUUGUGAUCUCAACCCUCUCCCUAUACCAUUAGCCAAUGUAAAAUAAACACACACACAUAAUUCACACAGUAAAACUCAGUUUAAAAUGAUUCCGCGUCCCUUGGCAGAAUAAAGAAUAAAACAAUGAUAAUUAACAAUUAAAAACCAAUUGUUCAGAGAACAAUUGAAGGUCUUUCCAUCAAAACAAUGUAUUUUGAUAUGAAAAGUUGUGAAACUAAG
rnacentral:lncRNA from 1 species